rnacentral:rRNA from 1 species
UACGUAGGGUGCAAGCGUUAAUCGGAAUUACUGGGCGUAAAGCGUGCGCAGGCGGUUUUGUAAGACUGUCGUGAAAUCCCCGGGCUCAACCUGGGAAUGGCGAUGGUGACUGCAAGGCUAGAGUUUGGCAGAGGGGGGUAGAAUUCCACGUGUAGCAGUGAAAUGCGUAGAUAUGUGGAGGAACACCGAUGGCGAAGGCAGCCCCCUGGGUCAAAACUGACGCUCAUGCACGAAAGCGUGGGGAGCAGACAGG